ensembl:lncRNA
GGAGACACUAGUGGUAAUGAACCCGCCUCCCAGUGUAGCAGACUUAAGAGAUGUGGAUUUGAUCCCUGGGUCGGGAAGAUCCCCUGGAGGAAGGCACAGCAACCCAGCCCUGUAUACUUGCCUGGAGAAUCCCAUGGACAGUCAAGGAGAAUGGGCGCCCUCUAGCAACAUUUUCUUCUCACAGGAGCUAACUCCUUCCAGCAUGACGGACACCUGGGAUCCCAAAACAGCUGGGCUGGUAGGGCCCUCGAGAAACGAACUACCAACACGUGCCCUGUGUCAGGCCCGGAAGAGCCUGCCCCUGAAAGAUGAAGUCCUCGCCACAUUGGGAGUUGCAUAUUAUAGAUUCCUGGAUCUCUCCAAUGUCUUUUCUCCCUCAUCAGCAUUGAGCGCCACUGGCGACAGAAAUUCUUCCCCUCCACUAGCGAGUGAAGGCACGAGACAUUUCCCGGCAGGUCGUCAGAAGCGGGUGGCGAGGAAAGAAGGAAAGACACUCUCCCUUUCCCUCUGCUCUCAUUUUGGACAGUUGGUGGAGAUGCACAUUUCAGCAGCUCAUGUUCUUUCUCUGUUGAGCUAAGGAAGGGACUACGUCCCCCAGCAGGCACUGGCACAGAGGAUGUGCUAGGCCGCCAUCUUAUUGUAGUCCUUUCUCCUGUUUCCACAAGCAGUAGCCUUAGCGAAUGAACUACAAGUCCCGGGUCACUGUCUCCCGUUUUCUCCAGCGGCCAUCUUUGCUGGUAGACGCCGCCCCUUUCCCCUUCCAUUGUCUGGUCAAAGAAAAGAGAAGGGAGCCGGGAAGACUGCAACUCCCGUCAAGCUUUGCCCCAACAGGAGGGGAAUUUCGAUAUUACUGGCGGGCGAGGUGCCAAGGUGGUUGAGUGAGGCGACUGCGAGAAGCUAGGUUGCCUGCCAUUUUUAUGGUAGUCCCCUUAGCCUCUUGACCCUGCCAUUCUUAACGAACUCUACAAGGCUCAGUUCAGUUCAGUUCAGGUCAGUCGCUUAGUCGUGUCCGACUCUUUGCGACCCCAUGAAUCGCCGCACGCCAGGCCGCCCUGUCCAUCACCAACUCCCGGAGUUCACCCAGACCCACGUCCAUCAAGUCCGUGAUGCCAUCCAGCCAUCUCAUCCUCUGUCGUCCCCUUCUCCUCCUGCUCCCAAUCCCUCCCAGCAUCAGAGUCUUUUCCAGUGUGUCAACUCUUCUCAUGAGGUGGCCAAAGUACUGGAGUUUCAGCUUUAGCAUCAUUCCUUCCAAAGAAAUCCCAGGGCUGAUCUCCUUCAGAAUGGACUGGUUGGAUCCCCUUGCAGUCCAAGGGACUCACAAGAGUCUUCUCCAACACCACAGUUCAAAAGCAUCAAUUCUUCGGCGCUCAGCUUUCUUCACAGUCCAACUCUCACAUCCAUACAUGACCACUGGAAAACCAUAGCCUUGACUAGACGGACCUUUGUUGGCAAAGUAAUGUCUCUGCUUUUGAAUAUGCUAUCUAGCUUGGUCAUAACUUUUCUUCCAAGGAAUAAGCGUCUUUUAAUUAUGUGGCUCAGUCACCAUCUACAGUGAUUUUGUAGCCCAAAAAAAUAAAGUCUGACACUGUUUCCACUGCUUCCCAUCUAUUUCCCAUGAAGUGAUGGGACCGGAUGCCAUGAUCUUUGUUUUCUGAAUGUUGAGCUUUAAGCCGACUUUUUCACUCUCCACUUUCGCUUUCAUCAAGAGCCCUGUUAGUUCCUCUUCACUUUUUGCCAUAAGAAUGGUGUCAUCUGCCUAUCUGAGGUUAUUGAUAUUUCUCCCGGCAAUCUUGAUUCCAGCUUGUGCUUCUUCCAGCCCAGCGUUUCUCAUGAUGUAUUCUGCAUAGAAGUUAAAUAAGCAGGGUGACAAUAUACAGCCUUGACGUAUUCCUUUUCCUAUUUGGAACCAGUCUGUUGUUCCAUGUCCAGUUCUAACUGUUGCUUUCUGACCUGCAUAUAGGUUUCUCUAGAAGGCUAGGAAACUACUGUUCCCAUCGCACCUCGUAAGAUGGACUGCUAGUCAGGUGUCCGCCCGUCUUCCGCCAUCCUGUUUGUAGUCAUCGUUCCCACGCCUCUACGCUCUGAAACCCGGAGCCUUGGGGCAACCGGACUAUAAAUCCCGG